rnacentral:rRNA from 1 species
GAACGCUGGCGGCAUGCCUUACACAUGCAAGUCGAACGGCAGCACGGGAGCAAUCCUGGUGGCGAGUGGCGAACGGGUGAGUAAUAUAUCGGAACGUGCCCAGUCGUGGGGGAUAACGUAGCGAAAGCUACGCUAAUACCGCAUACGAUCUAUGGAUGAAAGCGGGGGAUCGCAAGACCUCGCGCGAUUGGAGCGGCCGAUAUCAGAUUAGGUAGUUGGUGAGGUAAAGGCUCACCAAGCCGACGAUCUGUAGCUGGUCUGAGAGGACGACCAGCCACACUGGGACUGAGACACGGCCCAGACUCCUACGGGAGGCAGCAGUGGGGAAUUUUGGACAAUGGGCGCAAGCCUGAUCCAGCAAUGCCGCGUGCAGGAUGAAAGGCCUUCGGGUUGUAAACUGCUUUUGUACGGAACGAAACGGUGAGCUCUAAUACAGUUUGCUAAUGACGGUACCGUAAGAAUAAGCACCGGCUAACUACGUG